AUUCUACAGCCAGACAACCUUCAACAGCAGGACACAGUAACUCAAGGUAUUAAGGAAAUCCUAAGAAACCAAAAGGUGCUGAUGACAAGGAUGGAUGACAUUGAGAAAACCCUCAAAGAAAAUGUUAUUGAUAAAGGUCUUCUAUUGGCUCAAACACACACGCUGCGCGAAUGUAAGGUGGUUUUAGCUAAAGUCCAUCACUCCAUUGGACGAUUGGUAGGAGAAAUAGAAAAUCCCAUGCAAAUUGA